rnacentral:lncRNA from 1 species
AAACAUUAUAUCUCAGCUCGUAUUAUCCCAAAUACUCAAAACUCAUUUAACAGAAAUUCACUAUCAUCAUUGGCUAGACAAAAAAAAUUUAUAUGGCAAGAACUGUGAGAUAUGCAAACUAAACAUGACAACUAUAUGCUAAAAUGUAAUCUAAACAUGCAACAACUAUAAAAAUUAAACUAAUCAUGCAAAACUAUAUGCAACUAAAAAUACUACCCAUACCUCCAAACUUAAAAUAUU